GAGUUAUAUAUAUAUAUAUAUAAAUAAUCAAUUUAAUUAACUUUGAAGGAGUGAAGAAGAACUUUUUUUUAAAUCUAGUUAAAUUGAAGGAUUUUGUCAUGCAAAAAUGGUGAGAAAAAAAAAUCAUCAUCUAAAAAAAGAAAUUUUGGGUUGUAUAUAUAUUUAUAUAAUAUUAAGUUCAAGAAUAAGAUUAAAUAAUAUAAUGAUUGAAAGAAAAAUAUGGAAAGUAAUAUGUAGAAAAUAAAUCAACAAAAAAAUGAGCUUUGAAACUAAUAAUUAUUGUUAUUAUUACUGAAUAAUAGAUAUCAGAAUUUUUUAAAAAAUUAACAAAUGUUUUUAAAUGGUUUACAAUAAUUUAAAAAAUUAAUAGAAUGAUUAAAUAAUUAAAGGGAAUAAGAAAUUGAAAAAAAAUUUGCAUGUAUUUGCAUGCAUGCAAAUAUAAAUGAAAUUACGUAUUGAAAUAAUAAUUUAAAAAAAAAAAAAAA
rnacentral:lncRNA from 1 species